rnacentral:rRNA from 1 species
AGAGUUUGAUCCUGGCUCAGGAUGAACGCUGACAGAAUGCUUAACACAUGCAAGUCUACUUGAUCCUUCGGGUGAUGGUGGCGGACGGGUGAGUAACGCGUAAAGAACUUGCCCUGCAGUCUGGGACAACAUUUGGAAACGAAUGCUAAUACCGGAUAUUAUGUGAGUUUCGCAUGAAAUUCAUAUGAAAGCUAUAUGCGCUGCAGGAGAGCUUUGCGUCCUAUUAGCUAGUUGGUGAGGUAACGGCUCACCAAGGCGAUGAUAGGUAGCCGGCCUGAGAGGGUGAACGGCCACAAGGGGACUGAGACACGGCCCUUACUCCUACGGGAGGCAGCAGUGGGGAAUAUUGGACAAUGGACCAAAAGUCUGAUCCAGCAAUUCUGUGUGCACGAUGAAGUUUUUCGGAAUGUAAAGUGCUUUCAGUUGGGACGAAGUAAGUGACGGUACCAACAGAAGAAGCGACGGCUAAAUACGUGCCAGCAGCCGCGGUAAUACGUAUGUCGCAAGCGUUAUCCGGAUUUAUUGGGCGUAAAGCGCGUCUAGGCGGUUUGGUAAGUCUGAUGUGAAAAUGCGGGGCUCAACUCCGUAUUGCGUUGGAAACUGCCAAACUAGAGUACUGGAGAGGUGGGCGGAACUACAAGUGUAGAGGUGAAAUUCGUAGAUAUUUGUAGGAAUGCCGAUGGGGAAGCCAGCCCACUGGACAGAUACUGACGCUAAAGCGCGAAAGCGUGGGUAGCAAACAGGAUUAGAUACCCUGGUAGUCCACGCCGUAAACGAUGAUUACUAGGUGUUGGUGGGUACGACCCAUCGGUGCCGCAGCAAACGCAAUAAGUAAUCCACCUGGGGAGUACGUUCGCAAGAAUGAAACUCAAAGGAAUUGACGGGGACCCGCACAAGCGGUGGAGCAUGUGGUUUAA